GGAAGAUCCGAGGCCAGGAGACUAAUGAGGAUCUGAUCCAGUAAUCCCUGCGUCACUUAUUGAAGAAAUGGAGGCCCAGGAAGGUGAACUAUUCUGUGCAUGGUAACCACAUAAUAACAUGUCACAGUGAGGAACCAAACCCACGUAUCCGGUCUCAAUCUUCAUUCUAACCAGGGGAUGUGCUGCCCCUGAUUGUGUUAAGCACCACAUAUAAGGGGCAAAAGGAAAUCCAAGAGAGACAAACCGCUUUGCCCAAGAAAUAAUGAUCUGAAAGGCCACAUGUGGAGAAGAUAGACAAGACAUAGGAAUAACUCAGGGUGGAUUCUACCUUCCUAAGUACACCCACCUCCAAAGGCAAGAGGACCAUCUUCUGCCAGGAAAUACUGAGCCAUAAAACGUUUCCAAAUUGCAAGACAAGUACCACAGACAGAUGAGAUCUGUUUUUCAGACUUAAGCCAUCAUACAAAUCAGGUGAGGGCAAAUAAACACUCUGUUGAACUUAGGAAGACAAG